AACCAGCAGAGGGAAAAGCAUUCUUCUCCAAGGGCCUGUUAGGACAGCUAAAGGGAGAGGCUCUUCUUUUGAUGGCAGCUUUCAGGCGGGCAGUGCAGAACAGCUCCGGUCUGUGUCCUGUUGUCUGGUGUGCUGUGUUCCCUAGUGUGUCUUUGGGGUCCCUUUUGCCCUCUUCCCUCGAUGCCCUCACCACAAGCAUGAUGUGUUGUGUUUGGUGUCCCCCUGUUUGUCACGUUCUGUGUCACUGGUGUCUGCAGGUAUUUGUGCCGGAGCUGUUCUGCCCUGCUGCAUGGCGUGCUUCAGUAGGACAAACCCUGGGGAGUUGGAAUUUGUGAUGUGGGCUGUACUUGGGCUCUAGGUGCUAUUCCUAGGUUUACAUAAGGUGUUUCCAGCUUGAAAGUUAAAGUUAUUGUGGAGGUGUGUGACAUAUGUUCUAACUUUCUUUCAGGUGUGGAUGCAUUGCAUCCAUGGCAGAGGGUCAGGGUUAGGAGGUGCUGGGCAUUCCUAGGAGCAUAGUGAGUAGCAGAGUGGUGGGGUUUUGGCCGAUGCGGUGCCAAGGUCAGGCACUGAUGUUUGGUUCUCUUUAAUCUAGCUGUCUGAGGGACACCAGCCCGGUGCCAGCAGGACCUUCCCAGGUGACGAGGUGGCCUUUCUUUGCACCUGACACAGGCAUCCCCUGAUGUCUGAGAGAUAAGCAGAGGGCUGCAACCCUCAGAGGGGAUGAACGUGGGGUGCUUUUUCAGGACUCCCUGAGGUGGGGGUCUGAGUUGGCUCUGGCAAUGAGGUUAGCCAAGAUGUUGCCCCUUAGGCCCCAUAAAAGCAAAGUCUCCCUUUUGGUCACAGUGCUGAGGUGCGCAGCAUGGCAGAGCAGUCCCGGUGUGUCUCGUGUCACUCGUCUUUUGUGUAUUGUGUGUUGCCUGGAUAUCUCAUGUCUCUUAUCUUAGCCCUGUGAGGGGCCUCUCAGAACCCUUUCCUAGCAUCCGUGAUCUCAGCAUUCCUCGCCCUGGCACCCAUGCCAUAGAUCUUUUGACUUGGGAGCUCACACAGGCAUCAGAAAUGCAUCUCUCUUUAGAAGCGUCCAGUCAGAUGUCUUGUCAUGUCUUGUUCUGAGCUGUACGGACAACCGUGCUGCGCAAUGAUCCAUUAUAGCAGAGUAGGACUUGUAAGGAUGUGAGGUUAGGGAGAGGAUUCUGACUGUAGGAUUCUCGGGCAUCCAUCUUUGCAGUUUUUGGAAUAAAUCAUUCUGUUUGCAUCUUCUUCCUCCAGGGUUCUCUGAGCCUCAUCAGCUCGCCAUCAGCUUCAACUCUUCUUCUUUUGCAUUCUCUCAGUCCUUGCAGCCAUUUUCCUUGCUAAGAGAUUUCCGUUCCUGUUGUGUCCCCAGUGUUUGUCACGUCUUGUCUGUCCUGUGUCACGGGUGUCUGCACACAUUUGUGCUGAAGCUGCUGUUCUGCCCUGCUGCAUAUCCUGGUGCAAUAUGAGAAGUCUCAGGGACUUGGAAUUUGUAAUGUGUAGUUGGAUUCUAGAUGGGAUUUGUAGAUGGACACAGGAUACGUGGAGCCCAUAAGUUAUCCUGCAGCCCUUUCACUUUCAUCCUAACUUUCUUUUAGUUGCAGAAGGAUAAAUCCAGGGCAGAGCCCCCCAUUCUGGGUGAGGGGAUUCCCCUGUGAAGGUCAGUCACUGUUUGUCUCUGCAGAGGAAGCAUAAAUUGUGGCUGCUGCAGCUCUGCUCUUUGUCUUUAUUUUUAGGAAGUCAAGGCAGAGAGCAGCUGUCAAGGCUGAGUGGGCAAGAUGGACUGCUUGCCAUCUAUCCUAGCCCAGCAUGCCCAUGCCAGGUGCUGUCGCUGCCCUAGGCAUGCCGGGGAAGAGAGGAGGGCAGGUGACUCGGAGUUUAGGCGGGCUGAUU